CCCGCACUCUACAACCCUCCCUCUCUCCUCGAUCUCUCUCCCUCAGCCGCCACAAACCCUAGGUCCCUUUCCUACGAUCCCGUGGUCGCUGCCCCUGCUCCAUCCGACCUCCGUGGCGACCGAGGGCCCGAUCCGCGCCAACGCCGUGCGGGCGGCGGCCGGGGCGGGCGCGGAGAGGGCCGAUGCGGCGGCCGCGGGCGGGGCGGUGGCGGCCAAGGCCAGGGAGGACGAGGUCAGGGAGUACAAGAGUGACGUGCUGAACCCCUCCGCGGAGGAGUUCGUGCCGCUCUCCCGCCGCCUGUCGGCCGACGCGCCCGUCUUCGUCUCGCCCGACUACUAUGCUGCUCCGUCCACCGACUCUGUCCGUGCAGGUGGCCAGUUUCCUUCCGCCCCAACCUUUUCCACUGUCUCCCUAGUUCAUCCUCCGUCCUUGUUGCCCGAGAUUCUCAUCUUUUCAGGCAGCGAGGAAGCCACGUGAGGAGAGACCUCGUCUCGAGAAUCCCGGGAGGAGGGGCUCAACCAGAGAGGAGCAGAUGCCAGCCAGGUAGUCGGCUCGGCUCGACGCCGUCUUUCGUGUCUGGGCCGCGGCAGACCCUAGCGCCGUCCUUCAGGUGUCUUCACGGCUGCAGGAGUGUAUGUUCGAGGAUGUAAAUCCAUCUGAUAUGUUGUUGACAGGGAUUAAGAUUAUUGUAUUGACAUAUCUGAGAGUAUUGUACUGACAUAUCUGAGAAUUUAAUGAUCUAUUAGCAACUAGGUGUUAAGCUUCAGGCUGAUGUAUUGGUUGAGAUCGAGGAGAGAGUGAGCCGUUGCAGAGGAGAGGGGAUACGAGGGUGGGCGGAGGUCAGGCAUUGCUAACAGAUUUGAGGAGGAGUGGGAAAGGUGAAGGUGAUGCCGGCCGGCCGGCGCCUCACCACUGGCUCCUGUUUUGCAGCGGCAAAGAGAACGGUGUUGAGGAUGUGUUGCUCUAUGCACGGCUGUCAGAAGUACAUCCUUGCUAUAAUGUAUUUUUCUGUGGCUUUCUCCAUUAGAAUAUUUCUCCUCAACGACCAUAUCAACCUGUCUGGUGUUUGCACAUGUCAUUUUGGUUGAGGUGUGUGCAAGAUCAUCCCUCUCUAAACUAUAAAUUUGUCUGUAUGUUUUGGUAGAUUUGAUUUAUGGGCGGCGAAGGCAGGCUGGCUGUACUACAAGGCGGGGUGCCAUUGUUAUUUUGGUUUUGGCUCAUGAACUUCAAAUCAGUUCUCCUAUGAAAGAAAAUCAAUCUGUGUAUGCAUGAUACUUGUUAAUACUUUAACUGCAGUUUAGGAUACAAAUGUGAUUACAUUAAUCAUUUGUUAAACAGGUUACCGCCAUUCCACCUCUUCCUCGUGAUGGUAUAGGAGUACAUACUAAUUCGAUAAACAAGAGGCAAAGUUGCCAACGCCUGAGAUAGUGGUUCCUACCUCUGGCCUUCGCACCUUUAGUUCCACAAGUAGUUAAGCAACUCAAAUGGUAAGAACUUCAGGGUUCUUUUUUCUCUUUCUUUCUUUCUUUCUUUAUUUCUUUCUUUUCUCUUGGGACUGUUUAUUCUCUGUUUGUAUAUAUUUCCUUUGAUUGAAAUAAAGGAUUGUGUGGCCUUUGCUCCACAUAAGGUAGUCAAAAGAAAGUACUUCCUCUAAUCCAUAUUAGUUGUCGCUGAUUUAGUAGUGUACUAAAUCAAUGACAAUUAAUAUGGAUCAGAGGAGGUAACAUGUAUUUUGUUAAAACUGCUUUAAGUAACUAGGGCCAAGUAACAUACUAUGUGAUUGUUGUGUGUGGUCGUGGCAUGUGAAUCUGAUUAGACCAUCAUAGUUGGAUAAUAGCAGUCUUGGGGAGGAAUACGAUGUGUGUUUCAGAUAUUUAAGAGCGGUUUGAUUAUGUUUCAAUUUCGAAGACAUGGUCGUGGCAUGUGAAUCUGAUUAGACCAUCAUAGUUGGAUAAUAGCAGUCUUGGGGAGGAAUACGAUGUGUGUUUCAGAUAUUUAAGAGCGGUUUGAUUAUGUUUCAAUUUCGAAGACAUGGUUUCGUGUUAUGCCUUAUAAGGUUGAGGCAUGUGCUAUAGAGGCAAGGAAGAUUACUUUGAUUUUGUUGAUUAUUAGGGUUUUUGAUAAUGCAACUUCUUUUGGAAUCUGUUAUUAGUGUUUUAUAUAUUGUUCCCCCAAACGUCCUUUUUUGUUUAGUUAUGUAUUGGCAACCGUUUCCUUCUUCCAUUGUAGUAAGUAGAAGUUAUAUAUUUUCCUGUCCAUGCCCUUCUUUUCCUAGGCCAGCAAUUUGCUUUCUCCUUGGUUUACAGUGGCUGCAGCCUCGUAUUUGUGACGUCGUAGCCCCAAAGGUAUCCUUCUCUCUAUACUGAAUCUGAUUCUUUGCAUUUUGGGUUUGGAUAUGUUUGCUAUUGCCAGCUCUAUUUGCACUUAAUCAAUAUAUGUGCGUGCACUUGUAGAAGUGAAAGAGAAAUUUGGAGGGCGAUAAAGGAAUAUACAUAAGGUCCUGAGGAAAAUGAUACUUGUACAUGGUUUGGAUUACUCGUGUUUUUUUAUUUUGACUGCAAAUAACUUCUCUUUUCAACACACUUAGUACGUGAUCUAGCAAUCACAUUAUAAUAGAGUAAGUGAGAAAAAGCUCUUUAUUUGAAUGACCAAGAAUCCGUGGUGUUCUCCUGAACUGCAAGGAACACUCCACUACGAAACUCACUUAAGCAGGUUGAUAGAUGAUACCUUGUCUUGAGCCUAUUUUCUCAAAAUAAUGAGAGGCUGAAUGAUUCAGACACAGGAUGAACUUUCUCACCUCAUCAUUUCAUUACAUUUUGAUUUCAUUGUGUGGUGUGCUUCGAUCUAGGUGAGUUGAGUUGCUGCUUGGUUGGAGAUGUUGAUGUCGCUCGAGACGCCCGCUGGAUUCACCCUUUUCAAGGUUCUGAAUAAGGGCAAGCUCGACAAGGUCGAGCUGAGUGUUCGUCACCACCUUAGCUCUUGGUUUGGUUUGGAUUACUCAUGUUUUUUAUUUUGACUGCAAAAUAACUUCUCUUUUCAACACACUUAGUACGUGAUCUAGCAAUCACAUUAUAAUAGAGUAAGUGAGAAAAAGCUCUUUAUUUGAAUGAUCAAGAAUCCGUGGUGUGCUCCUGAACUGCAAGGAACACUCCACUACGAAACUCACUUAAGCAGGCUGAUAGAUGAUGUCUUGUCUUGAGCCUAUUUUCUCAAAAUAAUGAGAGGCUGAAUGAUUCAGACACAGGCUGAACCAUCUUUCUCACUUCAUCAUUUUGUUACAUUUGAUUACUGAUUCAUCAAGGAGUUGUUGUUCUGCGUUCACUUAUUUCCCCAAACUAUAUGUACGCAUCGCUCGCAAAAGAAAUCGAUUUAAAUCCUCUCCGAAAAAAUUUGGACUGUUGUAAGUUGAAAAAAUGCAUGUGUUCUGUAAGCACUUGAAUUGAAGGGCAAAAUGAAAAUGCAUGUGUUGGUAUGCUGUUGCUGGCCCAUAUAUCCCAAGACAGGGUAUACAGAUAGCUUUUGACCUUGCCAGAGCGUAAGUAGUUCAUUUGGUUAAUCUGUUUUGCGUUUUGACAUGCAUCAUUUGUUGCAGACUGCUAGAUCGAUGCUACUUCCAUUAUUAUUAUUUUUUAUUGCCUAAGCACCGAACAAGCACUCUUGCAUUGGAGGUGCCCUGAAUGGCUUCUACAGAUUUGUCCCAAUGCAAUUAGCAGGCUAGCAUAUUUGAAAAAUGAAAUUUUGAAUGACAUAUAGCAGGAUAUGCAUCUAUUCCUACUCCUAUCUUAUAUGGACAAAUAGAUCUAACAGCUGGCUUGCUUGCUUGCAGUGGUACAGGUGUGAUCUUCAUGGAGCUAGCCAUCAUUGGAUUUGGUAAUACAUAAUCACUUAUUCAGAGAGCCCAAGGUGAGAAGGGAUGAGCAUCUAGAACACCACCACCUACUAAUCAGUGAGCUACUAUCUGUAUUUCAAUGAGUUACUUAACAAGAGAAGGCAGGAGUUUCCUACCUUUCUUCUGCAAAUAUGGAAUGCCUUUAUGGCAUGAUCAUGUGAAAAAAGUACCUUGAUGCAGUAAUGGAUUUGAUUAUCACUGGUUACUCUGUUUUCACGAAUUACUAUCCAACUGUAUGUAGAUAGCCGACAAUGUUAUUGUUCAAAUGUACUCGAGCCAGGUUUUCGGUGUUUCAUUGCAACCAAAAGAAUUGGUAAUAUUGUUUUGAUGAAAACAUGGCCGCACUUGUCGGUGUUGUAGUGGCAUAGGAAUUUUUCCCCUAAGAUCCACUAUGAAGUUGAUUAAAAAGUCCAUUUUCCCUAAGAUCCACUAUGACAAUGAAAAAGAUUUCUGAAAACUGUGUCACCAUAAAUGUUCCAUCAUUGUCCAUAGUAGACCCAUGCCAUAUUAAUUUCAGAAGAAUAAUUUCUUAUUCAGAUGUUCAUUGUGUUUUUAUGUACUGCUAUAUCUAAAAAAGCAAGUUUCAGCUAAAACCAGAGCCGUGGUUAAGAUACUCUUCGCACCUAGGAUAUGUGUAUAUGUUCAGAUUUCUAACUUUAAACUAUAGUUUUAGAAAAUGUGGUGCCCUCGCUUAUUUUUCUAAUGCAUGAACUGGGUAUGUUUUAUGUGUAAUGCGUGCUUGAUUUCUUUUUGGUUCUGGUGGAUUUUGAUUUUGUCCACCAUGCUUCUCUCCAAAGAGAUGAGUCUGUUUUCGCAGCAGCGGGUGAUGCAUGUGCUUAUUGUUGGCUGUUGCUAUGUGGUAUGCAUUUUCUCAUUGUUGGCUGUUUGUUGUUUGCUAUAAUUUGUCGUUAAUAGAGUAGUUUCUCCUUUAUUGCAUUGCAUAAUGCUAGCAAGCUACAUUGCACCAUAAACAAAAAUAAUCCUCUUCCAAGGUUAAACCUGUUUUUUCCUUCUAGCAAAGAUCUCUGGAAAAGUUCAAUUCCGUUAGCCUAUAAUAUUGCAGUUCUUUCGUAUCCUUCAAAGAUUUAUAAAUAUUUUCUGUUUCCACUCCAUUCGUUCUCAUGGAUUCUGAAAAAAAUAUUUUUGUUUUUUGUUGAUUAAUAAUAUUGCUCUCCCUUCCAGUUUUGAGGUGGUCGAUGCAUGUAGAAUAUACAGACUUUCCUAGAAUGGCGCCUUUUAGUUUUUCUGCUUGAUGUUAGUUCAUUGAUGAGAACACCUAUGUACAUGAUUGCUGCAUGCAUGAUAUCCUAGUAUACACUGAGAAAUAUUUUUGUUUUCCGGACAUUGUUUUCUAAAUCGUAUCAACAUAUUACCUGAUAUGGUCUUUGAAGUUUCUAUUUUAUAGCGACUCUCUGCACUGGUCAACUUGAGUAUGGUAUGGUUAUCUUUCCUUUUGUUUACAAGAGAUGUGUGGUAGAAGCUGUACUCACAGGAAGACUAUCAUGCUGUGUAUAAACCACGUUCUACGAUUCACUUCUGUUAUGCAUAUUUACUUUCCAGUUUUAGGACUGAAAUCCAUCCAUUGUAAUGAAUUUGGUUGUAUGGGCACUACCUAUUUGACUUAGGCUUGCUUCAUCACAUAUAGACUGCUUUUUCUUUUCCCCAUUGCUUGUAUGACCUAAAACUAUCAUGUAUAUGAGGCAAGUUUUUAGCAAUGUUUCACAUUUUCUUACUUGCAAUACUGUGCUUGCCUAUUCAGGUGUUCCAAGACCCAAAUCAUCAGAAAAACAACACAUACAACACUUUUUUCUUUUGAACUUUGGUUACCCUUAUACAAGCCCCUGUUCAUUUUGUUUAUAUAGUGGUUAGAAUAGUAACCAUAUGUGCUUGCUCAAUACUGAUAGAUGGAAUAUUUUCAAAGCAUGUAUGGUGUGGGUCUGCAAUUUGGCGCAAUGGGAGAUUACUGAAAAAUACACAUUUUUUCAACAUGACAUGGUCUUGAAAUGGGAGUCUACUAUCAAAUUAAAAUGUGUAGGUACAUCUCAUUGUAGAUGACAAGUAUCUAUUUUUUUAUUAAAGGGGGUUAAAUUUGUUAUCAUAUAUGCUUGCCUGCUACUAAAACAACUAAAACAUGGAAUUUCUUUUCAUACUGAAGAUGGAUUCAGUGGGUCUCUACGCCAUUUUGUUACCCAACUGACGCCAUUUUGUUACCCAACUGACGAACUGAGAAAGAAAGGAAGGGGAUAGACAGUCUUCGUUGGCUCUGCCCCCUGUCGCUUCAUAUUCAGCUCCUCACGGGCUACAGGCAUCGCUCUACGUGGGUUGGGCUAAAUAAUAUAUGGGCUAUCAUAAUACCUCCUGAUCAUUAUAUCUCCGAAUAUGCACAAUAAAGGCAUGUUUUUUUCUUAGGUUUCUUAUCUUUUUCCUCUUUUUUUUGCAGGAAAAAUAUGCAUGGCCAGGUUUCUCAUCAUGAUAACCAUGUUUCCAAACCUGCUAAAAAAAUACAACUAUGCCAACUUUACUCUCUCAUCAUAGUGCCCAUAUUUUCAAACUGAACAUAUGCAUAUUAUGCAAAGUUUCCCUUUUCUUAGACUAUUAUCUAACAACGUAAUAAACAUGUUUAAAAAAUAGCAUGAUUUAGUUGAAGGUUCUUUCAGCAUGAAACUAUUUUCAUUGACAACAUGUCUUCAGUAGGUCUAUGCGUCAUUUGGCGCAACGGGUCAACUAGUACAGAUGAAAAAAUAAAGGACGAGGAUCGAACAUGCGACCAGGGCCUUCAAGCUGCACGUCAAUAGGCAACAUAUGUAGAACAUCAAUGUUUGUUGUACCUCCCUUUGUUCACAUAAUAUUUUUAUAUUAUCACAGCCUAUUUAAUUGAUAACAUUUAAUAUUAUUUUUAGUACUAUUUGCCUUCACUUAUUGGUGGGUUUCAUGUGUGCUCUCUCUCUCCUCUCCUGCGUUUAGAUGCACGGGCAAACAUGAAGAACUCGCGGGCGAUGUUGUAGUUGACCAUAUCUGGAC